rnacentral:tRNA from 1 species
CAGGUUAAACUUAAAGUUAAGGUUUUCAUUUACACUGAAAUUUAUUAUCGUGCGAUUCGAUUUAAUCUGA